GAAGGAAGCUAAAGGGGACCUUCCAUUGUUCCCAGGCUAGGGGUCGAAUCAGAGCUGUAGCCACCGGCCUAUGCCAGAGCCACAGCACUCGGGAUCUGAGCCGCGUCUGCAACCUACACCACGGCUCACAGCAACACCAGAUCGUUAACCCACUGAGCAGGGGCAGGGACCAAACCCGCAAGUUAACAUCCAUCAUCUCAUAUAGACACACAAACGAAAAGGAAAAAAACAAAAAACAAAAAAAACAUGUUUUUUCCCUUGUAAUGAGAACUCGGGAGCCCCUCCUCCCUGGGUUUCUUGGAAUUGCUGAUCCCGAAUUGGAACAGCCCCUCUUGUUUCUCCUAGCCAAACUCUAUCCGAAAAUAAGAAUCUAAUUUUAGUCACGAGAGCUUUGGUGGGUGUUUUUGGAGAUAUUACAGAGGGUUGAAAUAAAUCUCGACUCAAAUGAUAGCUCACAGAGCCCUUGUUCCCGCCGUGUAGUUGUUAUGCUUCCCGCUUAAUCAUAGCUCAUCACUCAGCAGCUGAAAUGCCCAGAGCCUUUGUGGUUUUGAAAUGUAGCUUUGAUUUGAUCCUCAGGAGUUGAGAAUGGAUGACGAUUCCUAGCCAGGCCCUGUGGUUCCUGCACCUGCACCGUGUGAAGCACUUCUUGUGUUGGCAUCGCUGAGUGGCCUGCGUUUGGAAAGUGUUAGGGAAAUGGCCAUGGGGUGUCUAAAGGAACCAGGCCCUUUGGAGGACUGCAUCCCAGGAGAUGGUCAGCUCAGGAGGGGCCAAAGGACCUGCAAUCUUGGCCAGGCCAGGAGGGGCCCAAACAAAUGUAGAGCCUGACUUGGGGGCUUUGGGGACUGCAGGUUUUUGGGACCUGGGAACUUUGAUGGCUAGGACAGUAGUUAGAAACUGCGCUGCUCUGUGCCAUGUUGUGUGACAGAAUCACAGACACCAUGUAGAACAAAUAGUGCUGGAGCUGGCCUGGUGAGUUGCCUCAUUGCCCACACGCCACCUAGGACAGGAUAGGCUCAGCCCACACACAGGCUGAGGGCAGUGUGCACAGGUAGGACCCCACUUCCCCAUUCUAGGACUUAGGGAGCCCAAGAGACUCCUGGAGUUAGAACAAAAGCUGAAAUUAUAUGGUAGAGCUG
rnacentral:lncRNA from 1 species